AUUCCAUGGUGACGACACUUUCUGAUCAAAUCUUUGAAUCUCUCCCAAGCAUCAUAGAGAGACUCAUUGUCAAGUUGAUAAAAACUAUUGAUCUCUCCCCUCAACUU